rnacentral:rRNA from 1 species
UACGGGGGGGCAAGCGUUGUUCGGAAUUACUGGGCGUAAAGGGCUCGUAGGCGGCCAACUAAGUCAGACGUGAAAUCCCUCGGCUUAACCGGGGAACUGCGUCUGAUACUGGAUGGCUUGAAUCCGGGAGAGGGAUGCGGAAUUCCAGGUGUAGCGGUGAAAUGCGUAGAUAUCUGGAGGAACACCGGUGGCGAAGGCGACAUCCUGGACCGGUAUCGACGCUGAGUGACGC